GAUGAACGCUGGCGGCGUGCCUAAUACAUGCAAGUCGAGCGAACAGACGAGGAGCUUGCUCCUCUGACGUUAGCGGCGGACGGGUGAGUAACACGUGGAUAACCUACCUAUAAGACUGGGAUAACUUCGGGAAACCGGAGCUAAUACCGGAUAAUAUAUUGAACCGCAUGGUUCAAUAGUGCAAGACGGCUUUGCUGUCACUUAUAGAUGGAUCCGCGCCGCAUUAGCUAGUUGGUAAGGUAACGGCUUACCAAGGCAACGAUGCGUAGCCGACCUGAGAGGGUGAUCGGCCACACUGGAACUGAGACACGGUCCAGACUCCUACGGGAGGCAGCAGUAGGGAAUCUUCCGCAAUGGGCGAAAGCCUGACGGAGCAACGCCGCGUGAGUGAUGAAGGUCUUCGGAUCGUAAAACUCUGUUAUUAGGGAAGAACAAGUGUGUAAGUAACUAUGCACGUCUUGACGGUACCUAAUCAGAAAGCCACGGCUAACUACGUG
rnacentral:rRNA from 1 species